UUGCAGUUAAAAAGCUCGUAGUCGGAUUUCAGUAUUAGGCCCUUCUUCCAAUACGGUUGCUAGCGGUCUUUACUUCCUUAACAGAAUCUUUCAUCUCAUUAAUUUGGGGUGUUUGGGGCCUGUUUCUUUUACUUUGAGAAAAUUAGAGUGUUCAAAGCGGGUUUUCGCCUGGAUAUUACUCUUGGAAUAAUAAUAUAGGACUUUGGUUCUUUUUUGUUGGUGACUUAGAACCGAAGUAAUGAUUGAUAGGGACAGUUGGGGUCAUUCGUACUAUGAAGCGAGAGGUGAAAUUCAUGGACCUUUGUAUGACGAACUACUGCGAAAGCAUUUGACUAGGAUGUUCCCGUUGAUCAAGAACGAAAGUUGGGGGAUCGAAGACGAUCAGAUACCGUCGUAGUCUCAC
rnacentral:rRNA from 1 species